GAGUCUCCACCCAGCUGGGUCUCUGUCACAGGGAAACCCACCACCCCUCCGCCUCCUCCAUCCCCCUCCAGCCCUGGCUCCUCCUCCUUGUCUCCUCUGUCCUCGUCUCCUGCUCUCCUAGCGUCCUUGCUGUCUGUCCCAGUCCUCUGUGGUCUGGUGCUGCUGGUCGUUCUGGUCCUACUGGUGAGACGAUGUGUCCGCAGGAAACACUCAACAACAACAACAACAACAACAACAACAACAGAGACUGAUCCAGCUCCGGUCUACUCAGCAGUGGAAAGAACAGAAGAAGUCAGUUAUGAAGAGAACAGGCGGAGAGAGAGUGAUCGAGCUGCAGUGAGAGGAACUACAGACGUCAGUUAUGGACAAAUAGUGAUCGGACCAAACAGGGCGAGAGAGUUUCCAGCAGAACCAGAAGUCGUCUACUCCUUGCUGAAGCCGACCAUCCCUCCUUCACACCAGUCCAACCAGUGAAGUCUGGCUGUUUACAUUUCUUUAAACCAAUCACAGUCCUCCUGGGCGGCGCUGAUCUCCAGACGCAGUGACGGUGGCUCUGCUAAAUAGUCUCAGGAAGGAACUUGUUUUGGUGGAACAUUUGCACCCUGCAAAAUAAAACGGAACUUUUUACAGAACCACGCAGGCCUGCCUUGUUGCAACAUCCAAAUCUACUUCUAAACUUGACUUUUUCAAGGAGUAGCUUGAAGGUUGUUGUUGUUCUCUGGAAAAUGUAUUUCUGUUGAUCCGGGCUAACUGCCCCUCUUCAUAGACAUGAUUUACUUCAUGAUAUGUUGUGUGUGUCUGCCUGUUGUUUAAGUGUUAUUUAUUUGAGGUAUUUCAAAAUAAAAAC